rnacentral:rRNA from 1 species
GCCUACUGCCAUGCCACCCUGAACAAGCCCGAUCCCGGCUGAUCAUGGAAGCUAAGCAGGGUCGGGCCUGGUUAGUACUUGGAUGGGAGACCACCUAGGAAGACCGGGUGCUGUAGGCG